rnacentral:rRNA from 1 species
AUACGUAGGGGGCGAGCGUUGUCCGGAAUGAUUGGGCGUAAAGGGCGCGUAGGCGGCCCGGUAAGUCUGGAGUGAAAGUCCUGUUUUUAAGAUGGGAAUUGCUUUGGAUACUGUCGGGCUUGAGUGCAGGAGAGGUAAGUGGAAUUCCCAGUGUAGCGGUGAAAUGCGUAGAGAUUGGGAGGAACACCGGUGGCGAAGGCGAUCCACGGGAGUGGAACUGGCGCUAAUGCGCGAAAGCGUGGGGAGCAAACAGGAUUAGAUCCCCUGGUAGUCCUCGCCCUAAACGAUGUCAACUGGUUGUUGGGUCUUCACUGACUCAAUAACGAAGCUAACGCGUGAAGUUGACCGCCUGGGGAGUACGGCCGCAAGGUUGAAACUCAAAUGAAUUGACGGGG